CCCGCAUCACUCCUAUCUAAGGAUCCUUCAAGUAUCCUUUGUUCCAUGCUAAAUAACCAUCAAAAUUUUAUUGUUAAUACCUUUGCUAUUGAUCCCACCUCUUCAAUCAUUUUCUUUUCUAAAAUAACAAUUAGAGUUAUGCUUCACUAUUACUAAUAAAUUAUGAUUCAAAUUCUCGAGUACAUCGAAUUUUUGGUUUGGAAUGUUACAAUUCUCCCCUCCAUUAAAGAAUUUCAUCUUCGAAAUUUGGUUACCCCUCUGAUCUGAAUAUUUGCUUUUCCUUUCACCCUUUUUCUUCUCCAUUCUUUUUCUUUCUUUUCUUCUCCUUUCUUUCAGCUAUCUGAUAACAUUACAUGCUACUAAUUAUGCUAUGGUUAUGCUCAUGCCAUGCACUACCUUUUUAAGAUUUUGGCACUAAACAUGCUAAUAUUCAAGGGCCUUCUUACUUUACUCCUUGCAUUUUUGCUAGUCAACCAAAGUAUAACUUACUAUUUGACUAACAUGCCAACUUUUAUAAUGACAUACAUAAUUAUACUAACACUUUAACACAUG
rnacentral:lncRNA from 1 species